rnacentral:rRNA from 1 species
UAGGGAAUCUUGCACAAUGGGCGAAAGCCUGAUGCAGCGACGCCGCGUGGGGGAUGAAGGCCUUAGGGUCGUAAACCCCUUUCAGCAGGGACGAAAAUGACGGUACCUGCAGAAGAAGCCCCGGCCAACUACGUGCCAGCAGCCGCGGUAAGACGUAGGGGGCGAGCGUUGUCCGGAUUUAUUGGGCGUAAAGAGCUCGUAGGCGGUUGCGUAAGUCGGAUGUGAAAACUCAGGGCUCAACCCUGAGACGCCAUCCGAUACUGCGCUGACUUGAAUCCAGUAGGGGAGUGUGGAAUUCCUGGUGUAGCGGUGAAAUGCGCAGAUAUCAGGAGGAACACCCAUGGCGAAGGCAGCACUCUGGGCUGGUAUUGACGCUGAGGAGCGAAAGCAUGGGUAGCGAACAGGAUUAGAUACCCUAGUAGUCCCUGAGCGGGCUGGCAAGGCGCAU